rnacentral:rRNA from 1 species
UACGUAGGGUGCGAGCGUUAAUCGGAAUUACUGGGCGUAAAGUGUGCGCAGGCGGCAGAGCAAGUCGAGUGUGAAAGCCCCGGGCUUAACUUGGGAAUUGCGAUGAAGACUGCAAGGCUUGAAUCUGGCAGAGGGGGGUAGAAUUCCACGUGUAGCAGUGAAAUGCGUAGAGAUGUGGAGGAACACCGAUGGCGAAGGCAGCCCCCUGGGUCAAGAUUGACGCUCAUGCACGAAAGCGUGGGGAGCAAACAGG